CACGCAGGCGGAUUGAUAAGUCAGGGGUGAAAUCCCGAGGCUCAACCUCGGAAUUGCCUUUGAUACUGUCUGUCUUGAGUUCGGGAGAGGUUGGCGGAAUUCCUAGUGUAGAGGUGAAAUUCGUAGAUAUUAGGAAGAACACCAGUGGCGAAGGCGGCCAACUGGCCCGAUACUGACGCUCAUGUGCGAAAGCGUGGGGAGCAAACAGGAUUAGAUACCCUGGUAGUCCACGCCGUAAACUAUGGAUGCUAGCCGUUGGGGAGCUUGCUCUUCAGUGGCGCAGCUAACGUCUUAAGCAUCCCGCCUGGGGAGUACGGUCGCAAGAUUAAA
rnacentral:rRNA from 1 species